AACCUGCAAUCCGAACUGUCACCGGAUGGUGGCGUGGCUGGGACCUCCAGCAUAGGAUGUGUGGUUGGAA
ncrna:unclassified sequences DTF3800-IX RNA